CUCCGGAUCCAGGCUGCCUGCUCUUGAAUGGAGUCAGCGCCCACCGAUGGAAGCGCCGCCCCCUCCCCACAAAACACCUUCUGUGAAGCCCAGAUUUUAAAGUGACGCACAGCAAACUCUUUCAGAUUGGAAGAGACGGUAGUGGACAUGUGGAAGGGAUCCCCAGUAACCAUUGUCAGUGCUGUGUGAAUUAACACCUUCACGAAGGAACAGCACGGACAUCAGGACUCACAGGUGAGUAUCAAUCCUGCAUAUGGCGAGAUGGUUGCAUUUCUUGGUUGAGGGGACGGGGGUACACGGUUUACCGG